UGUUCAAGAGAAGGAGAUGAAUGAGUGUGUAUACAGGUGUGCUAUCUUAAUUUGAACAGUUUCUCAGGAAAUGUGAAUUACUAUGUGGAUUAUAAUUAAUGGACAUUUUUGUAGGGGUUUCUAAAUGUUUAGUUAGGAUAAUUCAAGUCUGACAUUUUAAAGUGGAAAUGACAAACAUUAGAAGCAUUUUUAAUCCUUGAAUAUAUUACAAUUUGCAUUUGCUGCAGAGCCGGAAAAAAAUUCUGCGACAACAAUUCUGCGACAACAGAGUGAUCAAAUUAAGAUAGUACAUCUGUAUACUGUUUGUGUGUUAUAUUGUUACAAUGUUGACCUUGUGUAGGCACCAGUGUUGCCUGUUUGUGUAAAUGUGUAAAUCACAGAAAGCCAUCAAGAACAUAGAACACCUUAUAGUGGAAGAACACAUAGUCUAUAGUAUAUUUAGAUUAUUUGAGAAUUUCCUAAGUGUCUUUUACUUGGUGGAAUGCAAGUCAAAUUUUUUUGGGGUGAAGGUUUAUUGCUUGUUUGAUCAGAAACAUUUAGUGGGCUGUACAGUACAGAGUAUAAACAGAGCUCCAUUAGUUUGCCUUGGAAAACAGCCACCUCCUCUCCUUUAACCUCUCUGAUCAACAUGUGUCAGCGUGGAAGAGAGCAGUUAGAGACAAAACACUGAGACAUUUCUUACCGCUUGUGUUGCCAUAGCAACCUCUUGUCAAAUGAAGAUGUCAGGCCACGGGUGACCCCCAUGGUCUCUUUUUUUUUUGUCUUUCUUCCCCUCUGCUGGGGGAAGCACACAUGACCUAUAACUUUUUACCUAGAAUGGCCAGGCUGUCUGGUCCUGGUUCUGAGCACACAGGGUCUGUCCAUAAGGGCUAUAGUACGGAACUGCUCCUGCCUGCCCUCUUCAAUGGUGAAACUUGCCAUAGAUAUGUGACUGAGAUAGCUAUGUGGGGGGAAAUCGCAUAACAUCCAUGGCUCUCACAUUUAGAAGAAGCACGUAGAAAGCAUGCAAAGGGUAGUAAACACAAGGAAGGGUAGUAAGCACAGGGAAGGGUAGUAAACACAGGGAAGGGUAGUAAGCACAGGGAAGGGUAGUAAGCACAGGGAAGGGUAGUAAGCACAGGGAAGGGUAGUAAGCACAGGGAAGGGUAGUAAGCACAGUGAAGGGUAGUAAGCACAGGGAAGGGUAGUUAGCAUAGGGAAGGGUAGUAAGCACAGGGAAGGGUAGUAAGCAC
ensembl:lncRNA